rnacentral:RNase_P_RNA from 1 species
AACAGACAGUCGCGUGGGCAGGCUGAAAGGCCGUCCAUGAGGAAAGUCCGGGCUCCACAGGGCAAGGAUAACGGGUAACGCCCGCCGAAGGCGACUUCAGGAAAAGUGCAACAGAGAGAUACCGCCGUCAGGGCUUUGCUUUGGCGGUAAGGGUGGAAAGGUGCGGUAAGAGCGCACCCGACGGCUGGAGACUGUCCGUCGAUGUAAACUCUAUCCGGAGCAACACCGUGGUGGAAGCACAUGGCUGGCCCGGCCGCUUCCGGGAGGUGGCUUGAGCGUACCGGCAACGGUGCGUCGAGAUAGAUGACUGUCAAAUACAGAACCCGGCUUACAGUUUUGCUCG